rnacentral:lncRNA from 10 species
GCCGGGGCUCCUGUUUUCACGCUGUGGGCAGGGCGGGCCCCCACCUGCUGUGCGUGCGUGCUGAGCCUUCUCGUGCCCAACUGUAAACACGCAGAAGCAAUGUGGGCGCAGCGCAAGCUGCUGUGGCCACCCAGAGAGCCUUGCAACACGGCCCUGCUCUCCAACCCUCCUCCUCCCGCCUCUGAUGCUACCCCGCUGUGGCGUCUCGUGAACAUUACCUGCGCACCACUGCCUGAGAUCUGGUAACACUCGCCGAAACCAGUGCUUCCUGGGACCUAGUUUGGAAAAGCUGGUUGUGAAAUACAUACUGCGGUUCAGCCUCCUCCCGCCUAAGAGCAACAAUGCCUGUGAGCAUAACCUUACCAAGAAGCGUGAAUCAUAUGAUAAUUACAUAUGGCACCCACAUAUCCAGAGGAGAACAGCACGGUGUGAGCCCUCAUCAAAUUGUCCAAGCCAGAAACCUAGGCCUUUUCCUGGAAUGACGUUCCUCCACAGGUCUCUAAUAGGUGGACCCCUGCAGCAUUCACCCAGCUUUUUCACUGCGCCUGAAUAGAAGAUGCCCUUUCAGGCCAGGCGCAGUGGCUCACACCUGUAAUCCCAGCACUUUGGGAGGCCGAGGCGGGUGGAUCACGAGGUCAAGAGAUCGAGACCAUCCUGGCCAACAUGGUGAAACCCCGUCUCUAAUAAAAAUAAAAAUAAAAAAAAUUAGCUGGGUGUGGUGGUGCAUGCCUUGUAGUCCCAGCUGCUCGGGAGGCUGAGGCAGAAGAAUUGCUUCAACCCAGGAGAUGGAGGUUGCAGUGAGCCAAGAUCGCACCACUGCACUCCAGCCUGGUGACCCAGAAAGACUUCAUCUAAAAAAAAAGUUGCCCUUUCAUAACUGUUACCUCUGGACGUACUCUUUCUAGAAAGUCCUGCCCUUCGCUGUGCUAUCCCUGAAGAUCAGCACAAAUGUCAUCUCCAAGAGGAAGCCUGGAGCACCCACCAUCACCAUCACCACCCACAGAUGGACAAAAUUACCAAUAGUCUCCUCUCUCAGGUUUCCCAUAUAAUUACCUUUAUUACACUUAACAUAAAUAAGAUAGCCUCUCCACCUCUUUUUUUCAGUUAAAUGAUCCAACCAACUAAACUUUAAUUCAAUCGACUAUCGUUUGGCCACAAAUACUAUAUUCACUCUUUCUCUAAUCGAAUCAGAACUUGAAUGUCAAUAUCAUCCCUAAACCUUAUCAUCCACCCUCCCAUUAUCCAGCAUCCACCUCCUGAACUCAGUCACGGCCUCCAAAUACUAUAGCCAGCUCCCAGAAUUAAAAGGUUGAGCCUCAAAUUCUCAGAAAAGUUUAACAAGAAAAACAACUAGAAAGAAGGAGAUUUAUCCUAAAAGUCUGAUAUACUGUUCUGUAGAAUUUUCCCCUAAGUUCCAAGAUGAUAACUUCCUCUUUCAGCCUUAAUUCUCAGCGAAAAUACCCACAAAACUAAAAGCUACUGCUUUAAGCUCUUAAAUUUUAUCAGCAAAAUGAGGCUGAGGACCCGAGCCCACGCAAAUGGUGAAACUUUAAGAAAGAAGAAUAAAUAGAACAAAAAAGAAUGAUUGUUCUAGUUAUUCUUCCCUGAUUGAGACAUUAUGGUUUGUUUUUCCAAUAGGUUUUGUCAUAAAGGAGGAAAUAGGCAUAUUACAGAAAAGUUUGAAAAGAAAUGUAAAUAAAUAAAAAGUUCACUCAACAUGAACACAUAAGUAACAUAACUAUUAAUGUUUGCAAGUUCCCUUCCAAUAUUUUAUGUGCACAUAGAUCUGUAUAUAUUUAGCAAUUUUAAUCAAACUUUGCAUCCCAUUUGAUGACUUUUUUUCCAUUUAAGUUUUUUUUUCUGUUUUUGUUUUUGAGACGGAGUCUGGCUCUGUCUUCCAGGCUGGAGUAGUGCAAUGGUGCGAUCUCGGCCCACUGCAACCUCCGCCGGCUGGGUUCAAGUGAUUCUCC